rnacentral:lncRNA from 1 species
AACAAUAAAGAUAAUCAAUGAUAAUGAUAAUUGAAGUGGGUCAUAUAUAAUAGGCGGAAAACAUGGUGAAAUCUAGGGUUAAGAUUAAAAAAGAUGAUGGAAGGGAAGAUGAAGGUGAAGAUGAAGAACAACAAUCAGAUUAGCGAGAAGAACAGGCAUCAAAAUUCUGGAUGGAGAAGUUCCAGUUUUCCAGACUGCAACAGCAGAAAUGAUAAGACCACCUGCUAAGAAGGCCAGUAAUCUGUCCUCAAUGCUGUGUGGAGGUGGCUGUUCAGAACAGUAUUUACCGCAUAGGGUUGCAAUGCAAUUCGGAACCGACGAAGAUCUUUCAGGGUUGUGUUGGUCAGUGCUCUAAUUAACAGACCUGAGAUUGCAGAGAGCUUAAAGCUUUUGUUGAAGAGCUUGAGCAGAUGAUCACACGAAUAAAAGCAGCAAGAUUAAAACAAAAAUUGUUAACCUAGCUAGCCUUCUUCGUGAGAAAGAUUUGCUUGAUUUUAUUUUAAUUGAAUUCAUGGCUUCUCUUCUCCUGUUGGCAUUGCAGCAGGUUCCUAUAUGGAUAACUCCCGCCAUUGACAACAGAUGCAGAACAAGGUUAAAAGGAUAAUAGAAAUAAAACUUGAAUUAACUUAAUAGGUUAACUAGUGACUCAAAUGACUUCAAACUUGAAUUAAUCUUGUAUUAAUUAAUCUAGGUUAAGAAAAAAUAAAAAUAACUUGACAUCAUAUUUAGUACAUGUUUGGUAUUGUGAUAUAAAAUGUUUUUUUUUGUAAAUGUCUUUUGUUUACAAAUACAUCAAAAUAAUUUUUUAAAAGAUUUUUUUAUUUUUAUAAUAGUACAUCAAAAUUAUCAGAAAAACACUAAAAAUAUAUCAAUUUGAUGUUUUUAAAUAUAAACACAUAUUUAAAAAAUACCUAAAAACAAAAACUACCGCAUUUCCAUCCGAGCUAUUUAAAAAGCAAAGAGGGAACUUUUGAGAUGAAUAAAAUCAAGAAUUGCAAUUGCUAAAUUUUUUAAUGUGUUUUUGACGUGGAACACAUAAUAAAAGUAUUAUCUAAAAAUAAAUCAAGUGUAUCAAAUGACAUUUAUAACAAAAUCAGACCAUGACUUUUAAUUCAAUAAUUAAAUUUUAAUAAAAAAAACUUCUAUAACAUUUUAAAGGACUUAUUCUUUAUAGAAACAUCGACAAAACAUCAUUAAUGUUUGAUGUAUAGAGGUAUCAACUAUAACUUGAUGUCUUAUGAUGUAGAAAUAAAUAUCUUCUAGGGCACUAUAAAAGUUUUAAAGGUAGCAUAAAGAACCAUAAUAUAGAUAUUUGAUUAGCAAGAGAAUUCCAUAGCAAACUUAAUUGAGGGGAUGGAUCAACUACUAGGAGGAGGCAAAUAAAAAACUUGGAGAAGAGAGAGACGUGUUUAAAAACUUACCUCAAGGUGAACCAAACCCUAGAUCUAUUUCUACAAACUCAUAAAGACAUCAUGUCUAUUUAGAAAGUGAUUUGUACGAUGAACUAAAAACUUUGUCUAUAGCUAAACUUUCAUAGACACUUUUCUAAUUUUGAUGAAAUUCCUUUUGUUGAUAAGAAUUUUUCAAAAAAAAAAAAAAAAGGUUUUUUAGAUUAUUGUCAAAGUUAAAAGCUUACUUUUAUUUGAACAAGAUUUUUUAUUAUCAAAAUAAGGAUUUUCCAUACAUAAAUUUACUUAUUAAGUUGAAGGUUGGUGGUUCAAUCUUGUGGUUGAUGGAGCUUGUAUUGAUAAAUUUGUAAUUUCAUCAUAAAAAACUAUAAAAUAUAUUAAUUUUAGAGUUUGUACAAGAUGAAUAAAAAAAUAUUUUAUUUUGGUCAUAUAAUCACAAUCAAGUUAUUAUUACUUACCUUAUGUUCAACUUUCAACAAUAACACAAAAACAAAACAUGGAGGAGAACUAGCUUAAGGCUAAAAUUAUUUGAGUCAAUAAUAAGAAAUAGUUGAAAAACAAUUCAAUUUCUAUCUUGAACAUACUUAUUGUUCUUACUUUAUUGAUCAAUGUUGUUGGUAAUAGUGAAUUAAUUAUUUUAGCUAUAGUUUAUUUUUAAAGAAGUAGAAUAACCAAAAUUAUCACCAUCCUUGAGGAACAACAUGAAAGCAUAAAUAUAUUGAAAAACCAAAGUAACAUGAAGUAGAGGUAACAUUUCAAAGAACAAUAUGAAGAUAAAGAAUAUGUUGAAAUUAAACCAAUGAAUGAAAAGGUAGAAAAGUUACUAAUUUACUCAGGAAAUUAGAGUUAAAAUUAAAAAAAAAGAAAGAUAGAAAAAUAUUAUCUUCCUCCUGAAAUCACAAGAAAGUUUUGUCUAAAGGAUAAAAAGAAAGAGACUCAAAAAAUUUACUUUGUUAGCAUUUUAGUAAAUGAGGUUCAAUUUAUGAACAUGUUAAUUAUAAUGCUAAGUAUUUUAUGUUUUUUUUGGAAUGAAAGAUUUCAAUUUCUAAUUAUGAAACUAACAAACGAGUUCUUCUCAAGUAAAGAAGCUUGACACGAGAUGUGCAACAAAAGUCUUAACUUAAGAAGAAGUUUGGAUGUGUUAAAUGAUAUUUUUGACAAAAAAAAAUAGUUAUAAUUUUUUAUUCAAUUGUUGAAUCAAAUUAAAAUUUUAGAGAAUGUUCUAAGGCCUUGUUUCAUAAUAGGAAUAUCAAAGCAACAUCAUCCAAGUUUAGGAACAUGCCCACAUUAGAUAAAAAAAAAUAAAAAAAUGACAGGAGAUUUUUUUUAUUUUCCUAGUUGUUUUAGGAUUUUUUUUUUUAUGUAAAGUUUUAGAAUAUUAUUUGAUUCAUAUUUCUAUACCUAAGUUGGUGUUAUCUCUUGUUUAAACAUGUUAAAUAAUCCAAAUAUAUAAAGAAAAAUACAAAAAUAAGAGAGGAAAAGACUAAUAUUUCAUUGAUAUUUUAUAAUCACUAUAAUUUAAAGGAAUAAGUUUGAUUUAAAUACAAAAAAAUUAUAUAUAAACUAAAUUAAACUGAAAAGAAAAUAUUAUUUUACUUUCAAUAAAUAAAACAAAAUAACUUAUAUUUCUUAACAAAACAGUGGAAUUUUUCAUUAAAGAGGAUAUUGAUUAUUAAAAAAUUUAUUUAGAACUUUUAAGUUUUAGAGUUUUCUUUAUAAUUCAGAGAUAUAAUUUUAGGACUUGAAAAAAUUUAGUUUCUUUUUUAUAAAUAGUUUAUGGAUGUAAUUUUUAAUACUUGAGAAACAUUCUUCUCGAGAAGAAAAAAAGGAGAUAAAAAGUUAAGGGAUUGGACUGAUUGUGUUCUGGUGCUGAAGUCUAGAGUUUGGAGGUUCUGGGGAAAGGGUUUUGCUAAGGUUCAAGAGGAAAUGGGCAAAGCAAGGACAAAAGUGAGCAGAGUGCAUGCAGCUGGGAAUCGUGAAAAGGCACAACUUUCCUGGCACACCGGAAAAUCAAUAAUAAAUUAAUACAGGUUAGCUGCUAUCAAUUUGCGAAAUGCUCUUAGUAAUUUGAAACCUUUUUAUUGCAAAAUCGUCCUUGGCCCACAGGAAAUGUAUUUCAGUUUAGUGGUUUCUUGGUGAUUGAAGUGGUAACAAGAAGAAGCAACCGCCGACAACAAGAACACUGCUGCUGCCCUCCACUUUCCUUUUUCCCGCGAAUCCCUUUCGCUGUAUGUAGUGAACUGUUCACAAAGCUUGGACAGGGAGGCACUUGAGAAGCAACAAUGCUACAUGCCUAAUAGCUACUAGGUAAAGGAUGCUCUUACAGACGCCAUUUGAAGAAAAAAAAAGUUAAAGUUUUUUUAAAAACAAUCUCGUAAUCUUUUCAAAAGUUUACCCCUAACUGUGUUUCUUAUUGUAUUUAAGAUAAGAUUUGAUUAAGAAAUCCAUUGAAUUUCAGGCUAAAAGGCUAGAGAAUAGGAGUAUCCUUUUCUCUCUAAUCCUUUAUCCUUUGUGUGAUUGGAAAUGGAUCUGUACUAAUUAGUACCUUGCUAGAACUGACUUCACAGUGUAAACAUCAAGCUCCCAUCUUUUCUGUUCUUUCCAAACAAGAUCAUGACCUUGUGAACCAAAAACAGCAAAAGAGUCUGCCUAAUAUUUCCAAUUUCACAAUUUAAUGGGUCCAGUGACCUCACAGGAUCCUUCUAGCCUUUUCCACGAAUAAAAUUCUAACAAGCCUAUGCGAUUGCUUGUUGUUUGUUAACUGAUCCUAUAUCCACUGAUAAUGGCUAAGCAAGCAAAGAUUUUCACUAUCAGUUUGCUUCAUUCACACAGAAACUCAGCUAAGAACUGACUGAAACAUGAACCAUUGCACAAUGCUGGUACACUUUACAUGUAUCAUUACAGACAUACCAGCUACAAAACAUACAAUUAUAUCUGCAAAGAGACAGGUUGGCUCCUAACAAUUUUUGCUACUUAGUUCGUGCAAAAAGUAACUAAAACAUAAGCCAAAAGAGCUGUAGAACUCUAUAUAUCUACCUCACUCAGCAUGUUAAUUCUAUUUGUAUUAACUACAUUGUGAUAUUGUUGGUCAGACAAACCUUCUUCUGGCUAAAUUUAGCAGCCUUUAGCCCAUCAAUUUCUUUCCUAAGCUUGUCGAUCCGAGCUUCAAGUUCUAAUCCAUCUGUGUGAAUAUCAAAACGACUCCUACUUCCUCUUUCAUCAUCUUUGAGAAAACCUGCACCAUGGAGUACUGGACUAGGGCUAUCUAAUUUGUUUUUGCUGGAGUUUUCCGUGGUUGUGCUUUCUUUUCCACUCCUAGGUUCCUUCUGAAUGCUGCUUUCCUUCAAUUUCAUCUCUGCAUCAACAUUUGUAACAUCAUUGUUUUCUGCAGCAGAAGAUAAUAGAUUAUGUGUAGUAGCCGGCAAAGACUUGCGAUCACCAUAUAUUAUAUGAUCAACACUUUUGAGCUUUUUAUGAGUAAACAACUCCUUCAAUGUUAGAUCAUCCUCCUCAUCAGAGUCCAAGCCUUCAACAUGUUGACAUUUAGGAGGGUAACCAGGAGGAUACAGAGGAUCAUGAUCUGACUUCUUCCCUUUGAAACAUGGAACCGAAAUUUCUGAACCUUUUGGAUUUCCACUUCCAUCUUUCCCACCAAACACUGAUUGCUUCCACCAUUCCAAGUAUCUCAUAGUAACAUCUGGCUUGCAAUGUCUUGAUGGAAUAUAUAGCAUUGCAUUUUUUAUUUGCUUAUCAAAACGCCUCCAGGAAAGUUCUUGAGUUUCAUUUCUUCUCUUUACAGGACCUGGAAGAUCUUGAUCCAUGCCAAACUGCAUUGCCACUCGAUGCGGGCUGUACUGUUCUACACACCCUAUUCCAACUAAUUGACAUGCUCUCAAGCAUCGAGUAAAGGAUUUCAAUUCGUCAUCAGCAUCAACAUCAACAAGCACCCAUUUCUCUUCAUCACCAUAAAUUUUGUAGCACAAACUCUCCACGGCUGUGGCAUAAGGGCGCCACUGGAAACUUCCUUCAGAAUCUAGGGCCAAUCUUACAUUCCUAACGGUUGAACUAUUCACAUUAUGCCAUCUAGCUAAUCUCGGCACUUCCAAGUCAGUCACAUUAGGCUUUGGUUGCAAUUUUGGAAACCUCUCCCAGGCCCAAACCUGAACUAUAUGAAAUGGUGACCAAAUGGUGAGUUCUAACUUUUGAUCAUCAUUGUCAUCCUCAAAAGAAACUAAAUUGGACAAAGCUAGAAUCUUUUUCUUCAACAACCUCAAGUCUCGGUAAAUGCUUGCAAGAAGGGCAGGUCCAAGUGCAAUUUUGAUACCUCUAGCUAGACAAACAGCAAUUGGAAAAACAUGUUUGGGAAUGCUCAUAUUUGGGACACUGGGAAAAACAAACCUCGACAACCAUAGUGACAGAAAAGCCUCGUGCUCGACUUCGCUGUUGUUUUCCAUGAGAUAUUUAAUCCAGGAAGAAUGGUCAACUUUUUUGCUUUUUGACCGCCUCAACAGUUCUCGGAUUUCCAUUAGCUUUUGUUCAGCUUCAUGCAAUUCCUCUGUUUCAAGAGGGGUAAAAACAGGGGACCCCAAAACAGAGUACCCUGCAACCAAAAUAUCUUCCAAGGUGAUUGUUGCUUCACCCCAAGGAAAAAUGAAUGUGUUAGUUUCAAAACACCAUUUCUCUGCUAACCCAAUAAGGAAAUCAUCGUCUCUUCCGAUUUGGUAAAGAGAACUCAUGACUGCUUGAUAGAUUCCAACUUUUCUCCAUGUUGCUUCAUGCAAAGCAGCCAUUUUAUCAACCCAUUCUUUCCACCUCCUUUGUGCAUAUCUCCAACCAUGGAAUGUUAUUCUUAAAGGCCACUUUUUGGGUUCAAAGUUAGAGGGCAAGGAGAAGUUGUAGUGUGAAGGGUGUUUGGGAGUGUUUUCAUCUAUGGAAGAGGUUAUUGAGGGUUUGAUAAAAUGGGCUGUUCUAAGUGUUGGCUGUGCAUCGCCAGAGAGUGAAACCAUAAGUUCCUUUCUCGUUUCAACAAUGGGUCCUUCUGAUUUCUCCAUAGAAAAAAACGGUGAAGUUUCUUGCAGAGAAAGAGAAGGAGAGGUUCGGGCUUAGGGAGAGCCAAAGGUUGCUGACAUGAUUGUUUCGAACUAGCAAAGGAAGUUAAUGUGACGAUACAAUUUCAAGUAUUCAAAGCUUCCUCUAGAAUCUAUACCUUCACUACAUCUCUUCCAAAUAAUGUGUUAAAAAGAAUAAAAAUAAAGGCAGUAGAAAUGUCGAUAUAAAGUCAUGGCUCAUGAUUGCAUAAGGGAAUUAAUUUAAUUUUUGGAUGCGUAAGAAGUGGGGAGAGAACUUUAGAAAAUGGAUAAAAAGAGAUUCUGUUUAUUUUUUCUUUUUAAAAGUUUUUUUUAAAUAAUAUUUUUUAUUUUAAAUAAAAUUUUUAAAUAUUUUUACAUCGUUUCGAAGAAAAAAAGAGAAACAUUCAUUGGGAAGAAAAUAAAAGGAGCUAAAAAGUUUAGGGCUUGGACUCUGUGUUUCGGUGCGAAAGUCAAAGUUUGAGGUUUUUGUGGCAAGGGUUUGGACUGAAGAAAGCAAGGGUGGAAGCAGCUGGUAAUCGUGAAAAGGCAUAACUUUUCUGGCACACCGGAAAAUCAAUAAUAAAUUAAUACAGGUUAGCCCAUUUAUUUGACGUUUGAAGUAAUUUGAAACCUUUUUAUUGCAAAAUCGUCCUUCGCCCAUGGUGUGUACGCCGUUUUUAAAAUUGCAUUUGAGAGUGUUUUAAUUUGAAAAAGUGUUAUGUUAUUGUUUGGAGUUGAGUUUCAACUUGUUUUUAUUGAAGUUUGAAUUUUUUUUAUUUUAAAUUAAUUUUUUAAUAUUUUUUAAUUGUUUUCAAAUAUUGAUGUUAAAAAAAAUUUUAUUUUAAUAUAUUUUUAAAUAAAAAUUACUUAAAAAAACAACCACAAUCACAUUUUUAAAUACCUUCUAAGUGCCUGUUUGAGAAUGUUUCAAUCUGUGUUAUGAGAUUGUUUCAAUAUGUGUUAAAGUGUGUUUCAAAAAUAUAUUUGUCUUAAAAAAUAUUAAAAUUGAUAUUUUUUAAUUGAUAUUUUUUUAAUACUUUUCAAUAAUUUUGAUAUGUUGAUAUUAAAAAUAAAUAUAAAUCUAAAUUGAUAUUUUCAAUGUUUUCUGAUAAUUUUGAUAUAUUAAUAUAAAAAAUGAAAAAAUUAUUUUUAUUUAUUUCUAAAUAAAAAAAACUUUUGAAAAAUAAAUGCACCAUAAUAUCUUAUGUAUACUAAAUUGAUGUUUUUAAAAAUAUUUUUUAAUAAUUUUAAAAUACUGAUAUUAAAAAUAAAAAAAGUUAUUUUAUUAUAUUUGAAAAAAACUCCUAAAAAAUACAGGACAAAAACAUAAAAAUGGAUAGCAGCUUUGUUACAGAAAAUACUGCUCAUCCUUGCAGCACGUACAGUGUAGGAAACAACCAUUUUUCUGAUCCUUACACUGCAGAAGUAAAUAAAAACUUCAGACACUCUCUCCAUAGUUGUUGUCUUUAUUCCUUUUAACAUUUCAGUGUCUAUCAAUUUCUCGAUUCCUAGAACAAAACCUAGCUCUUUGCCUUUCCUUUGUGGAAAACGCCUUGAAGAGUUUCUGCAAUAAUUGGUUUCCUUCAUUCUCCCAGGAAACAAACAAACUUUGGGAUUCUUAUCAAUACAUAAUAGGUCCACUCACCAUUGUGAAAACCUCUUGAAACCCAUGAAUGGAAGAGGUGAAAGAAACCAUGCUCGAUGUUAGAGAAGAGCAAAUGGUGUCGUUCACUGGUGGCAGCAAACCAACUCUAAGAACAGCCCAUUUCCUCAAACCUACUGUGGCCACCAGUACAAGGUCAGUCCCCAAGCCCCCUACAUGUUCUCUAUCUUCUCUACCUUCAACUUUUGAGCCUAAAGAAUGGCCUCUGAAGAUAAACUUCAGUGGUUGGCAGAAGCCUAAACUGAACUGGGCAACAUGGGUUCAUAAGUUGAAAUUCAAGUAUCAGCCUUUAUGGAAGAAGGCUGGAAUUUAUGAAGCCAUCAUGCAUUCUACAUUCAUUGUUGUAAGAGACUAUGAUUUUAUCAUUGGACUUGCAGAGAAAUGGUGUCCUAAAACCAACACAUUUGUAUUUCCUUGGGGAGAAGCAACCAUCACCUUAGAGGACAUGAUCAUUUUGGGAGGGUACUCUGUUUUAGGCUCCCCCGUUUCUUCAUGCUCUGAUUAUGAAAGCAGAGAAUUGAAGGAAAUUGAAGAUAAACUAGCUGAAGCUGGGAGGAAUAUCAGCAGGGGUAAGGUUAUUAAGCCUUGCCAAUCUAAAUGGAUGGAGAAGUUCAUGGACAGCGGGAGUGAAAUCGAGCACGAAGCUUUUCUUUCACUUUGGCUGGCAAGGUAUGUUUUUCGAGAUUCUGAUAUUGUACUCAAGGGCCAUUUUUUUCCAAUAGCAAUUCAAAUGGCAAGAGGGGAACGUAUUGCACUUGCUCCAGCAGUUCUGGCUAGCAUUUAUAGAGACCUGAGUUUGUUGAAAGAAACAAUUGUUUUUACCACCAAGUUAGAGACUUUUGAGGAUGGUGUAUUGGCACUAACAAUUCGGUCACCGUUUCUGUUAGUCCAGAUUUGGGGUUGGGAGAGGUUUCCGAUGUUCCAACCGAAGCCCGUUUUCCUCAAGAAUGGUGAUCCCAGAUGUGCUUUAUGGGAUAGUGUGAAAGGUGUCAAAGUUGAGAAUGCAAGGCUGGCUUUGGAUUCAGCCGGGGAGGCUUUUCGAUGGCGGCCUUAUGCAAACCCAGGAGUAAGAGGUUGGCACUUCCCGGAGUUUUACAGAGAGAAAGGAGAAUGGCUAGACCUGGGAUCUAAUGAAGAUUUGUUGUCAUUUUCCCUAUGCUUGACAGUAUCCAAGAUGGAUGGUCUAGGCUGUUCAGAACUGUAUCUUCCUCAUCGUGCGGCAAUGCAAUUCGGAAUGGAUCAAGAUGUUCCUUCUCCUGUAGCUCGAUCAAAUGAAAGCUGCAAAUGUGCUUCGAAAAAUUACAUUAAGUCAUUUUCCAAUUCCAAAUUCUAUUUUCCACCUCGGUUAUUCGAGUCUGAUGUUACCAUUAGAUACUUGAACUGGUGGAGAGGGUCGGUGCAAGAGGUGACUAAGGAUGUGACUGAAGGUGUUGUGCGAAGGAAACGAAGUUUCCGAAAGAGAUCAAAUCGAGUUCCAUGGGUUUCAACAAAGAAUGAAGGCAAUGAUUUAGAUGUCCCCCCUGGUUUUCCUCCCAAAUCUGGCAGGAUGAAAGAAGGGGAUGUGGCUGAGAAUGAAAAAACAACUUUGGAGGAUAUAUUAAGAGACUGUAGCCUUCAUAACAGUUUAGACAGAAGGGAAGGUACAUCUGUUUAUACUUAUGGUCUCGCUCACAGUCCUUCAAUUGUAAAAACAGGCGGUGCAGGUUUUCGAAAGAUCGAGGCGCUAACACAACCAGAAGGAAAAACCACGCAGGUUAAAGCUGGAAAGGAUGGUUUGCAAAAAGCCUCAGAAGACGCAGAUGUGUUCAUAGCUGAGACUUCUGCUAACAUGGCGAGCACCAGCAAAGAUGCAGAAGAAAGCAACGGCUCUGUCUUUCAGAUCCCAGUAAAUGAACUUGAUGCUCGGGUUGCUAGGCUUGAGAUGGUAAUGGCCAAGAUAAAAGCAGCAAGAUCAUGUUUGUCAAAAACCCCACAGAAGAAUCUGCUCCCCUGAUGAACUAAGCAGUAUGAUUUCAUUUAAGUGCAUGUUUCCUUUGAUGCUUGCUAGGCUCGUAACAAUUGUAAUCCUUAAAUAGGUCUACAUUUCUGUGUAAAUUGCUUGCUUGAAUUACAAACCUUCUCUGGAUGUAUUACCCAGCCUCGAGUGUAAUCAGUGAAAAGUAAAAUCAUGGAAUAUUUUCAGUAUAAAGUGUAAACAGGAUGAUUUUAUGGAAACACAUGAUAGGCACGUUUCGGUAAGAUAGCUAGAUAUUAAAAAAUUAUUAAUUUAAUAUAUUUUCAAAAUAAAUAUUUAAUCUGGCCUUAUAUAUAUAUAUAUAUAUAUAUCAUGUUGUGAUUAGCAUGUGACUAUUUGUUUUUUAAUUAAGUAUUGUUAUGUGUUAGGGACUUGGUAUUGACAAAACAAGGGGCUAGAUAAAGAUAUAUAUCUUUUUAAAUUAACACGGUUUUUUAAAACACUUGAAAAAAAUAAUAUGUUUUGAAAAAUAAUUAGCAAAAAUAAUAUAAUUCGAUACAUGUCGUAAUUGAAAAUUGCCAUAUUUUAAAGUUAUCACUCAAAUAAAAUGUGACAUUUCAAACAAAUUGUUAAAUGGCUUCAUAAAUUACAAUAAAAAAAAAUGAAAGAGAAAAAUAAAGACUUUGAAACACAUCAAAAUUAUGAUUACAAUACCACCAGUAUUAUUAGAAAAAACUCAACAAAAAAAAUUCAAUGACACUAAGAAAAAUCACCAAUGAUGCAAGUGAGCAAUUAUAAUGAGAAAACAAGAUAAAUAAAAAUAAAGAAAGAAAAAAAGAAAAAGACAUGGAGGUACACCGAAACCAUGAUUAUGACACCGUUGGUACCAUUAAAAAGAUUUUGAUUACAAGAAUCUAACAAUACUGAAAAAGGUCACAAAUGGUGAUUAGAAUGGGUCGCACAUAGUGGGUGGCUUACUUGUCUUUGAACGGAAAAUGUGACUCACUUUGGUCAUCUUUGGUGACUCACUCCGGUUAUCUUUGGUAAUAUUUCUUGGUGUUUUUGAAUUCUUCUCAUCAAGAUUUUUUUGAUGGAUCUUGUGUUAUAAUUAAAGCUUUGAUAUGUCUUUAUGAUCAUUUUUUUUUUCUCUGCUCAUUGUAAUUUGUGCAAUUCAUUCAACAAUUUCUUUUUGAAAAUGCUGCAUUUCUGAUCAUAGAUGACUUUAAAUGUCACUUUUUUCGAUCAAGACAUAUAUCAACCAUGUUAUUUUUUAAUUUCUUUUUUCAAGUUGUGUUAUUUUACUAAUUUUUUUUAAAAAAUAUGUUGUGUUUUCCAAUUAUAACAUGUAUUAACUGUGAUAUUUUAUAUAAAAAAAUUCAAACUAUUUUAUUUUACUAUUUAAAAAAAUACUCGUGCUAAUAAGAAAAUUAUGUUAGAUAAAGGGACUUAGUGAGUAUUAGCUUUUGUUUUGCAUUGCAAAAUAUUUUUCAAAGUAUUUUUAAAUUUGUUUUCCUUAAAAAAGAUUAAAUUAAUUUUUUAAAAAAAUGUUUUUAGAUAAUUUUGAUAUGUUGAUAUUUAAAAUAAAUUAAAAAAAAUCUAUGAUAAAUUAUUUUGAUAUAUUUUAAAUUAAAAAACAUUUUUAAAAAACAUUUUACAUCCCAAUACUUUACAAACACUUAAUUUAUAAGGUAAUUAAUGUUCGCACCCGCACAAUUCUCUUUGUGGAGUGAUAAAAUCUAUUAUACUAAAUUAUAUAUCUCUUAAAUUGUAUGUAAAGUAACGAAUACAGUUACUGAGUUACAAAAUGGUUUUCUCAAUAUUAUAUUAACAAGUCCCAUGUUUCAGUUACGAAGCAUAUCUACCCAUUUCUGGUGCUUCUCUUCUAUAAUUAACUUUUUUCAAGGAAAACAUGGUGAAAUCUAGGGUUAAGAAUAAAAAAAGAAGAUGGAAGGGAAGAUGAAGUACAACAAUCAGAUUAGCGAGAAGAGCAAGCAUCAAAAUUCUGGAUGGAGAAUUAUCGUAUUGUAAUGAGAAGUUCCAGUUUUCCAGACUGCAGCUGUAGAAAUGACAAGGACACCUGCUAAGAAGGCCAGUAAUCUGUAGUGAAUGAGGAAAUUCAUGGAUAGUGGCAGCGAGAUUUAGCAUGAAGCGUUUCAAGGUAUAUUCUCCCAUAUACUUAUGAUUCCAUCAGGAAGCUUGUUUUCUCUAUUGUAAUUCAUGUCGCUAGAGGCAAUAGAAUUGCACUUGCACCUGCACCUGCUGUUCUUGCCUGCAUUUACAGAGAUAUAUAUGACGUUGUUGAAAGGGAAAUCGCAGAGUCAACCUUGUUGGGGAUUCCAAAGGGAAAACAUGAUGGUUUAACAGUUAAGCUUUGGUCAUCAACGCAAUCAGUUCAGGUUUGGGUUUGGAAGAGGUUCAAUGAACUGCAGCCGAAGCCUAAUCUGAUGAAGAGUGGGUGCCCUAGGUUGGCUCAGUACUGGGACAAAUUGAAACAGAAAGUUGAGAGUGUUUCGUUGGUUUUAAUCUUUGAGGAUUUCAAUGCAAUUCGGAAGUGAUGAAGAUCUCUCAGGUUGCAUGGGCUGCUGCUGACUGCAGAUGACAUUUAUUCCCACUUGACGUGUGAUGACCCAACACGCAGUCUACGCGGCGCUGUUUGUUCAGCCGAACCAAAACCUGAACUGAAAUAUAAAUAUAUUUUUUUAAUUUUUUAAUAUAUAUAUAUAUAUAUAUAUAAAAAGAAAUUAAUUUGAAGGAAAUAUUUUUUUUAUAAAUACUUUUAAAUUGUAAGUAAAAACAAAUGCUCUAAAAAUAAUUGGGGUCAUUGUAAACAAAUAAUGUUGUUUGAUUUUUAUAUUUUUUAAAUAUUUUUAUUUUGUAAUAUUGAAAAAUAUAUUAAUGCAUUCGAGUUUUGCAGUGUAAUCCAUUAAAUACACAACUUGAUCAUUAACUUCAUUUAUUCAACCUUCUUCUGUUUGCUCUCCUAUUGAAGCGAAAUGAAAAGCAAGAAGCUACUGGAUUUAGGGUUUGUUUGGGAAUGCAAUUAAAACUAUGUUUUUUAUAUAAAAAAAAAUUCAUUUUUUUAAAUUAUUUUCAUGUUCUGAUAUAAAAAAUAAUUUUUAAAAAAUAAAAAAUAUUAUUUUAAUAUAUUGUUAAGCAAAAAAUACUUUAAACAACAAUUGCUACCAGACUCCCAAACAUAUCUAUUGAUUACAACAAACAUACAAUCAAAGCUUUUCAUUUUGUUAAAUAUUUCUAUGCACUACAAUGUAUUCAUGUUUUCAAGAAAUAUAUAUAUACAAAAGGAAGUAAGAAAACCUCGUCUACUUAAACUCCUAUUCUAGGUAAGAUAAUAAUCUGUACAAAUAGAUUUCAUUACAAUCUUGGAAUCCAUACAUAUCUUACCAGCUAAUACACAAUCUUGUUAGCUAACACUCUCCCGCAAAUUGGUGCAUAGAUGUCUAUCAUGCCUAACUUGCCAAUCAUACUAUAAAAAUCCUUGUUUGAUACUGCCUUAGUGAGGAUAUCAAUUAUAUGACUUGUAGAUUUAACAAACAGAAAACAUAUAAUUUUUUUAUAUCUAACUUCUCUUUGAUAAAAUGACGGUUUACUUCAACAUGUUUAGUUCGAUCAUGUUAAACAUGAUUGUGUGCAAAUCUGAAUUGCUACGUUAUUAUCACAUUACAAAUUGAUAGAAUCUAUAUACUUGAUCUCUAAAUCCUUCAAAACACUCUUGAUCCAUAACAACACAUAUAUUCCCUAAAUCAUUCCUUGAAAUUCUACUUCUACACUAUAUUUUGCUAUAACUUUCUAUUUUUUACUUCUCCAAGUAAUCAAAUUCCCUUCCAUAAAGGUCGAAUAACCAGACAUAAACCUCCUAGGUGUUUGAUUUCUUGCCCAGUCUGCAUCAAUAUAGCCUUUAAUAUUUGAGACACCAUUCUUCAAGUAUAAUUAACCUUUGUUAGGCGCACCUUCAAGAUACUUAAGAUCAUGUAGACUGCAUCCAUAUGCUUCUCAUUUGAUGCAUGCAUAAAUUGGCUCACGAUACCUAUAAUAUAUGUUAUAUCAAAUCUAGUAUGGGUUAGGUAAAUUAACUUAUCCAUAAGUCUUUGAUACCGACCCAUAUCUGUAGGGAGUUAAUCUGGAAAGAUCCCAAGUCGAUGAUUCGUUUGUAUUGGUGUUUCAAUAGGUUUGCAAGCUAGUAUCUCAAUCUCACUUAGAAGAUCCAAUAUGUAUUUAUGCUGUGAAAGGGAAAUUCCUUGUUUGGACCUUACUACUUCAAUGCUAAGAAAAUACCUUAGUUUUCCCAAAUCUUUCAUUUUGAAUUCUAUAGACAAGUACUCUCACAAUGUCCUCAUUUCUUUAGGAUCAUUACCUAUCAAAAUCAUGCCAUCUAUAUGCACAAUCAAUAUCGUUACCCUUCCAUCUUUAUGUUUUACAAAUAACGUAUGAUCUAUAUUGCUCUAUUGAUAACUAAUUGCUUUCAUUGCCAAAGUAAACCUCUCAAACCAUGCGCGAGGAGAUUGCUUUAAACCAUAUAGAGAUCUAUUUAGGUUGCACAUUCUGCCUUCGUGUUUGGAACUUUGUUUUAUUCCAAGCAGAGGUUCUAUGUACACCUCUUCUUCUAGAUCACCAUUCAAGAAAACAUUUUUUUAUGUUGAAUUGUUGUAGGGGCUAAUCUCAAUUUGCAGUAAUGGAUAUGAGAAUACAGAUGGUGGUGAGCUUGGCUAGUGGUGCAAAGGUCUCUUGGUAGUCGAUACCAUAUUUCUAGGCAUACCCUUUGGCCACGAGUCUCGCUUUAUAUCUAUCAAUGCUUCCAUCCGCUUUAAGUAUAACAAUGUAUACCCAUCUACACACAAUUGCAUUUUUUUUUGCUGAUAACACAACAAGUUCCUAAGUGUAGUUCUUCUACAACGCUUCCAUCUCUUCAUUCAUAGCCUUUUUUCACCUUGAAUCUGCCAAUAUAUCCUGCAAAUUAUUAGGAAUAGACACUUUGCAUAAUUGAUUAAUGAUUAGUGCAUAAGAUUCUAAAAGUCCAUGAAAAGAGACAUAGUUAUUGAUAGGAUAUUUAACAUUGGUUUUAAUGUCCAGCUUAUAUUGUUUCUUUGUAACACCUUUAUGAGGUCUUUGUGAAUACUUGGGAGUGGGUUGAGAUGUAUCCUUAGUGGUGGGAUUAUCUAGGAUAUUUUAAGCAGAAGACUCUCUAGUUGAUGGUACGAGUAAGUCACUCAUCGCAGUUUCUUCCUCACUGAGGUUCGUAGCUUUUGUGUCAUCAGCACACAAUUCAAUCAUCUCAGCUUCUUCCCCAUCAUGGUUUACAACUUCUGUGUCACCAACAUAAUCCCUACAAAGGUAAUUGUGCAAUGAUAAAUUCCUCUCGUUUGGAAUAGUUUAAGUACCAGUGAACAAAGUAGCAUUAUGCUUAUUACUACUCUCUUUUUUUUCAAAUGCCACUAGCUAUAUAAAAACACCACCUCACUUUUAUCAAAAAUAAUAUUGCAAAGCUUACCCUUUUCAUACACAUUCUCCCCCUGAAGAGGAGAGCCUAAAUCGUUUACUAAAUACUAAGGAUUCAUUUCACGAAAGGAGACAUCAAGAGAUACAUGUAACUCGUGAGUUUGAGGGUAAUAACAUCUGUACCCUUUCUGAAAAUCAGGGUAACUAAUAAAUACACAAUGUUGGGCAUAGGGAUCAAGCUUGCUACGCAAGACUUUGAGUAUGUGAACAUACAUUGUAUAACCAAAGGUUUUAGGUUCCAAGUUUGGUUGAUGGGGUAUGUAAAAGAAGGUUUGUAAUUUUUAGUAUAGGGUCUAGAAAUCAAUCACCCAGGAAGGCACUGUAUUGAUAAUGUAGACAACAGACUUGGCAGCCUCUUCGCAAUAGAAAGGAGGCAUAUUCAUUCCAAAAAAAAUGCACGUACCACCUCCAUGAUCUACCUAUUUUUCCUCUUCACAAAGCCAUUUUAUUGAGGUGUGUAGGUGUAAGAAGUAUGAUGUCUAAUUCCUUAUUGUCAAAGAUAAUCACCAAGCGAGUUCUCAAGAAAUUCCAUGGAAUUGUCAUAUUGCCAUACCUGAAUUUGUUUUUGAAAUUGAGUUUUCUCCAUGUUGUAAAAUUCCUAAAAAAUAGUACUAGCAUCACUUAUCUUAGGUAAUAAGGAUACUCACGUCAUACGAGUGCAUUCAUUAAUAAAGGUAAUAAAAUAACAAGUUUUAGCCAUAGAUGGGAUUACUGCAAAUCCCCAAAUAUCAAAGUGAAUAACCAGAAAGGGUUUAGAGCUUUUGUUGAAAGAAGGGAAGUAAGGUUUACAAUGGCUUUUUGUCAAUUCACAAAUGUCACAUUGAAAAUCCAAAAUAUGCAAUUCUAUAAACAAAUUAUGUUUUAAUUUCUGAAGCUAACUAAAGGAAAGAGGCCUUAGCCUCUUAAGCUAGAGCUACACCUUAGACAACUUCCUAUCACCUUUCGUCACAAAACAUGCCUUAAUGUACUGCCAUUUGUUAGUUGUUGUCAAUUUCAAGUAGUAGAGGUUGCCCCAUUAAUUUAACAUCACAACCAAGAGUCUUUUGGGUCAAAAUAUCCUGAAAAACACAAUAAAAAGACCAAAAAAGUAACAAUGUAAUUUAGUGCUAAAGUGAUUUGGCCUACAUAUAACAAAUUACAUUCAAGACUAUGAACAACCAAUAUUGUAUUAAGAGUUAUGGCAGUAGUUAGAGCAAUGGAGCCCUUUCUGGUAAUAAGGGAGAUAUCAUCAUUGACUAUAGAUAUGACUUGUUGGGAUGAUGAACGAAGAUUUUGUAAUUUACUAGAGUCUUUAAUCAAAUGAUCGUAUGCACCGGUAUCAAUAAUCCAAGUAUUAUCCAUAGUAAUAGCAGAAAGAACACUAGCCUUAACAAUAUUACCUGGCUGAGUUAAAUUAGUUAAAUUAACAGUAGGCAUGGAAGUCCCCUCCUAAAUUAGAUGGCUUUCACCUGAUUUCGCCAUUACAGUUUUUCUAGUAAUGUUCUUCCGUGAUUUUUUUCAAAAAUCCUACCAUUCAGGAUAUCCAAUAAGCUCAUAGCAACGCAGCUUUGAAUGACUAGAUUCACCACAGUGGAUACAAACAUAGUUAUUUGGCUUUCCUGAAUCUUGACUAUUUUUCCCUUUGGCAGAACUAGAAGCUAUUCCUCGCUGGUUUUGAUUAGCUAUCAUGGUUGUAUUUUCAAAGACCGGCCGAGAAACUCCAAUAACUUGUCAUUGUUGUGACUCUCUUCUCACACAUGCGUAGGCUGCUUCUAGGUCCAGUUUUGGUUCCUUUCAAAGAAUUUCCCCAUGGAUUUGAUCAUAUUUAGAAUCAAGACCGCUUAAAAAAAAUGUACUCACAAUCUAAUCAUCACCGCAUGAAGUUGUACAAUCCCUUCAAUAGAUUCUUCUUAGAAUGUGCUGCGAUGAUCGAUUUCCUGAAAGAUUGCAACAAGUUCAUUAUAAUACAUGGAUAAAGGCCUAACAUUCUGAGUGGUUAAAAAUGACUUUUGAUUCAGUUCGAACAAUUAUGUUUCAUCAGAUCCAUUGUAGAAGGUCCUUGACACUGCCUCAUAUAUUUUCCUUGCUAUAACAAGACGAAUGAAUCUCUGCAUUAGGUGGGGCCUCAUUGAUUCGAUGAGCCAACUCUUUACUUUAUGAUUUUUGAUAAUCCAUGUAUCAUAGUUCAGAUCAUUAGGUGCAAGUUUCACCGCUAUCACAGUUAGAUACCCAACCUUGUUGCGGUCCCAAUAUGCAUCUCUAUUAACUGCGACCAUAACAUAUAGUUGGUUUCAUUGAGAAUAAUAUUGACAGGAGAGCCGGAGGUUUCUUGUUGAACGAUAAUUGGGUUUGACAAAGGAUUGCGUGGAGUGGCUGGAACAAUUGGAUCUCGCUCUUGUUCUGCCAUUGUGAUUUUGUUUGUAGGAGGAAGUCCCUGGAAUACAAAGGUCAAGGGAGAAUGCAGGGAAGAAUAGUAAAAAAAAAAAAAAAGUUUUUCAAGCCUGAGCUCUGAUAUCAUGUUGAUUACGACAUUCAACCGAAGCUUUUCAUUCUGUAAAUAUUUCUGCGCACUACAAUGUAUUCAUCUUUUCAGGAAAUAUAUAUAUAAAGGAAGUAAAACGUCCUAGUAUGCCUAAACUCCUAUUCAGGGUAAGACUAUCUGUACAAGGAAACAACUACAAUCUUGGAAUCCAUACGUCUCGACAGCUAAUACACAAUCUUGCCAGCUACCACUAUCAAAAUGGUAGACCCGUGAUAUUUGCUGGAGAGAAACAAUGAGGCCCUUCUUGGCUCUCUCCAAUCUAUGCCCUUCUUGGCUCUCUCCAAAAUGGCGCCGUUUGUUCAGCCGAACCAAAAGCUGAAGUUAAUUAUAAAUAAUAUUUUUUUUAUUUUUUAAAAUAUAAAUAUAAAUAUUCAACUUUUGCAGCUUAACCCCGUUAAAUACGCAACCUUAUCAUUAAAUUCAUUUAUUCAACCUUCUUACAUUUGCUGUCCAUGUGCUCUCCUGUUGAAGCGGAAUGAAAACCUAAAAGCUCCAAAAUUUAAGGGGUUGUGUUUGAAAAUAUAAUUAAAUCAUGUUUUUUAAAAGUUUUAAAAAUUAUUUUUUAUAUAUAUUUUCAGAUUGUUUUGAUAUUAAUAUCAAAAAUAAUUUUUUAAAAUAAAAAACACUUUAAACAUCAAAAUUUUAAACUCCCAUACAUGUCAAAAUGGUAGACCCAUAAUAUUUGCUGGAGAGAAACAAUGAGGACAUUCUUUGCUCUCCCCAAUCUAUGCCCGAAGGUCGAUGUGCAUGUGAUGUGUCUUCCCACCAUGUGAUGUGUCCUUAAUAAUUUGAUUAAUUGCUGUUAAUCUUUGAUGUCUUUAUUCACGAUUUUUCCACAAUAAGAUACUGUGUCGAUGGUCCUGCCAUGUUCUAAUUUAAUAGCAUAUAAAAAUAAAAAUCAAUACUUGUAAAACUUAAAUACCAACUAGAGUGUUUAUUUAAGUAUUAUAAGUUUUUAUAAAAAAAAAACAAAAUAUGGCUAAUUAAUAUAAAAACCAAAUAAAUAUUGAAUAUUAAAAUUAAAAAAAAAAAAAAAAAAUUGAGGUUGUUCAUUGUUUAUAUGAUGAUCAAGCACCAUAAUAUGCUUCAAUCCUAAAGAGAGUAAUAUAUAAUUCUUGAUUGGGUAUUUUUUUUUUUUUAAAAAAAAAAAAAACACUAAUAAUAACAUCUUUAACUGAAAGGACACAAUAUGCGUGUUGCGCGAGCUCUGGUUGUUAAAAGCCUGGCAGUGUCAUUAUUUGUGAGAAACCGUUUCAAAUCAUAGAAAUCAAAACAAGCAUUUAUGGCGUUAUCGUGCGAUAUCGAAAAGAUACGCGCGAGAGAUCUACAAAGCUCGAGCGGAAGACUUGAUGACUUUGUGGAUUCAUUUAUACAGAUCUGUAAACGGUAUUGUUAAGAGCCCUAGUCAUUGUAUACCCAACCUUUCAAUUUCAAUAGAAAGGAGGAAGUCAGUCAAUACGGGUGUCUGCAACCAUGGAUUCGAUCAAGCGUUUAGCCCCGAGCCCCUGUGUUUCCAAGUCCAAACACAGGAAACAAUAUUGGGUACGAAACAAAUCUAGUUAUAUUUCUAUGUUUUUCUUAUAAAGAUUAUUCUUAAUGCUUGUUUCUUGACUUCUUGUUGCUAUAUAUCAUGUCAUUAUCCCCAGAAAUUAAAAAUUAUUAUUUUUCUUAUACAUGUUAAGAAGAACAGAGAGAGGAGAGAAACUAUAAAACGAUUGGAAACAGAUAUGAUCGAGAUCGGUGAGGGACAACAACGCAUCAGAGAAGGGCAACGAGAAAUAAGACAAAAGUUUGAAGAGAUAGGAUCUGAAUGCCGCAGGCUCAAAGAGGAGACGAUGAACAUAGCCAAGCAGAGUGAUUACAACCAAGUCAGGAUAAACCUAAUGUUUAGCAUCUUGAAAGCCCGUGAAGACAACAACUUUGCCCAUGCUGAUCACCUUACUGGGCUCCUCCGGUUGGUUAAAUUCCCUUCGCCAUUUCUUUUCUUAAUUCUUGGGAUUUCGGAUUUCAUAAUUAAUCUUGCUAAUGCUAGCUAUUACAAGGAGAGAAACAUAAGUUAACGAACUCAAAAUAAAAGAAUCAAAAUGCACCCUUGAUAAUUAAUCUUCUCUCAAUAAUUGUGUUUCCUAUUCGUUGUGUUGGCAGCAAGGAAAUGGAAAAGCAGGAACAAGGAAAGGCAGGCCUGGUUGGCUGACUCAUGAUCAUGGAAAACGACGAGCAGUUUGCCUUUGCAGUGACUCCUGAUCGUCUUUUCUUAUUAAAAUGAAAUCAUCAGUCCUAAAUCUAGAUAUGUAUCGACAUUAGUCUUCCCUUGAUAUCCUUCUUCCUUUGAUGAAGUAUUCAUUUGAUUAAGGAUUUGCGUUCUCUUUCCGAAUUGAAUGUUUUGAGUUAUAGUACAUACCAUGUGAAUUGCCGGGCGAUGCCACCGAUUGUUAUAUAAACGGUAUAAGCAUUCGGUUGAGUAUAAUCUGAGGUAAUCGAAGAAGAACAUAGGCCGACAUAAUUAAACAAAAUGAGAAAAAAAAUAAAAAUUACUAGAAGUAUUGAGGUUAAGCAAUGCAAUCACAAGCUUUAUGUUAGAGAAACGUAAAGUCUUAACUAGCCUGUUUAGCUUUGCAGUAUUCAGUUGUUUUUAUUUAUUUUGAUUUUGUUUUUUAAGAAUUAUUUUUCAUAUUAAUUUUAAAAUAAAUAAAUAAAUAAAUCAUUUUUUUUUACCAAAAAAGGGUGUGGCUUCAAUAACAAAUAGUGAAAAAGUCUCAAAUACAAAGCAACAAGUACAUAAUAAAUUACCUGAUUGUUAAUCAAGGUAUACAUAAAUUCACUCGAAUAUUUAUAAUUAUUAAAAUAAUAAUAAUAAAGAAAGAAAGAGCUCCAGACUUUUUGACCGUGCAUUCUCAUUUCACUUUGAAUUCCAGUGAGAUUGAUAAUUUCUUUUGGAAAAAAAAACUUGUUUAACUUUGUCUCAGGUGUAGAAAGGUGUUUUCAAUGGGAUUUAUUAGUAAUUAUUAUUUUUAAUAGGGACAACUUAGUUUGUUUGCGUUUUAAAUAAAGUGUAAUGAUUUAAACACUUUUAAAAGUAAGAAAAAUUAAAACUAGUAGGAAUAGUUUUAUGGUUUUAUAGUAAAAGAAUGAUAUUGCCCUUAAAAGAAAAUGAUAAAACUUGUAUUCAGAGUCAUUUAGAUCUUUUCAAUACAGUUAUUUUGUAAUUAUAUAUUUGAAUUAAAAACAAUUAAAUCUUUAAUUAUAUUUAUAUAAAUAAUUAAUAUAUGUCACAUACAUUUUAGCAAGUGAAAGGCGUUCAUGCUCUUAAGAUGAUGUUUGCCUCCCCUAACAAUGGUUAAAAGUUGUGUAAACAAUGAUGUUUGAAACGAUGGGUCAUUCUCUUUGCGAUGGUGGGAUGCUUGUUUACGAAUGAAGUGUGGUUGAGCUCCUUAUAAACAUUUUUCUUUUCCUGUUUUUUCUUCCUCUUUUAGUCUAGAAAUUGAUGCCAACUCUUUUAAAAAUUUAUUGUGUUCUCUAGUUUGUAUUUUUAUUAAUUUUGAUUAUCAUUUGUUUUUGCUUUUAAUGCAUUUUGAUCUUUAAUUGAUUUGCAAUUUCAUCCAUAAGAAUUUUGUUUCAUUUAAUUUUUAUAUGAAAUUUGAUCUUUAUUAUUUUAUUUCUAUUUUUUUUGUUUUUAUACUUAUCUAGAUUUUUUUUUUCAAUUUUACCUCUCAUUAUUUUAUUUUAUUUAAUUUUUGCAUUCAAUUUUAAUCUUUAUUUUUUUAUUGUUAUUUUUUUUAUUUUCUUAAUUUUUUUCAUUUAGCUUUUAUGCUAGAUUUAGUCAUUGUUGUUUCGAUUACUAUUUAUUUUGGUUUUUAAUUUUGGAUGAUUAAGGAUUAUGCUUAGUGAUUUUUUAUUGUUUGCUUUUAAUGAGAUAAUCUCGAUCUUAUGAACCGGGUCACUAUUUCAAGGAUUAAUCCGAUUUAACUUUGAUUUUUUAUUCCUUUUUUUUAAAACAAAAUAAUUACUUUUUAAUUUCAUCAUUUGGUUUUAGGUUAUUAGGUCUAAAUUCCCCCCAUUUAUGUGGUGUUAUUUCGGUGUUAUAUCUUAGGUUGAGUUUUUUUCGAGAUAACUCUGGUUUUUUUUUUUUUAAUUUAGUUUUUCUAAUUUAAUUUUUUAAUAUUAAAUUAUUGAACCUUACAAAUUGUAUUUUGUUCAUUAUUUUUUUUUUUUAUAAGUUUAACAUGAUCUCGAGGUCAUUGUCUUUUUUUUAAAUUAAUUUUUUUAAUCUGGAACUCCCAUCACGGGUCGCAUGGUAGUCCAACUAAUCUGAGUUAAGUUAAAGUUUUUUCAAUUUUUUUUUAUUUUUUUUUACCAGUCGCACGCACUGUGUAGCGUAAAACUAAAAGUUGUAUCAGAAGAAAUGUGCAGGACAUGUGUAGGUCGGCUAAUGCUGGCCAUAAAUAGCCAUGUCUGUGAAGCUAUGCAGGUGUGCUAGUGGAGACAGAAACACUUAUGCAGAAAAGUGUGACGUAUGUUCCGGUAGUUCCAAAAAGAAUCAGAUAAAUAGUUGAGAAAUUUAAUAUUUUAAAGUUGUUUUAUGGGAAACAUGAUAUUUCAAAAAUAUAUUUGUUAAAUGACUUCACAAUUUACGAUGACGAGAGAAAAAUAAAAUAAAUACUUUAAUUAUACAUCAAAUCUAUCAUAAAAAAAACUCGACCAUGUGAAUCUAAUAAAAUUAAAGAAGUUCACCAAGUAGAUCACACUCAUUGAAGCUCUAAUUAUAAUAUCACUAGCAGCAUUAUAAAGUUCUGGACAAAAUAAAUCAAAUAUAAACAAUAAAGAUAAUCAAGGAUAAUGAUAAUUGAAGUGGGUCAUAUAUAAUAGGCGGAAAACAUGGUGAAAUCUAGGGUUAAGAUUAAAAAAGAUGAUGGAAGGGAAGAUGAAGGUGAAGAUGAAGAACAACAAUCAGAUUAGCGAGAAGAACAGGCAUCAAAAUUCUGGAUGGAGAAGUUCCAGUUUUCCAGACUGCAACAGUAGAAAUGAUAAGACCACCUGCUAAGAAGGCCAGUAAUCUGUCGUGAAUGAAGAAAUUCAUGGAUGGUAGCAGCGAGAUUUAGCAUGAAGCAUUUAACUUGUUUUCUCUAUUGUAAUUCAUGUCGCUAGAGGUAAUAGAAUUGCACUUGUCUUGCCAGCAUUUAUAGAGAUAUGAAUCUGUUGAAAGGGAAAUUAAAUCGUAGAGUCAACCUUGUUGCGGAUUCCAAAGGGAAACCAUGAUGGUUUAACAGUUAAGCUUUGGUCAUCAAUGCAAUUGGUUCAGGUUGGGGUUUGGAAGAGGUUCGGUGAACUGCGGCGGCCGGAGCCUAAUCUGAUUAGGAGUGGGUACCCUAGGUUGGUUCGGUGGAACAAAUUGAAACUGGAAGUUGAGAAUGUUUCGUUGGUUCUAGACUCGGAUAAAGAGAGUUUUAGCUCUGGAAAACUGGGAUUUCCUCAAGUUUUAUGGAGAAAAAGAAAUGUGGGCCGGCGACUGUUGGUUCUAGUUUGAACGACGAUUUAAUGGCAUUUGCUCGACGCGUCAGGAUUUCAAUGCUGUGUGGAGUUGGCUGUUCAGAACAGUAUUUACCUCAUAGGGUUGCAAUGCAAUUCGGAACCGACGAAGAUCUUUCAGGGUUGUGUUGGUCAAUGCUCUAAUUAACAGACCUGAGAUUGCAGAGAGCUUAAAGCUUUUGUUGAAGAGCUUGAGCAGAUGAUCACACGAAUAAAAACAGCAAGAUUAAGACAAAAUUGUUAACCUAGCUAGCCUUCUUCGUGAGAACGAUUUGCUUGAUUUUAUUUUAUUUGAAUUCAUGGCUUCUCUUCUCUGUUGGCUAUGCUACUAACAUGGCAGUAGCAUUGCAGCAGGUUCCUAAUAUGGAUAACUCCCGCCAUUGACAACAGAUGCAGAACAAGGUUAAAAGGAUAAAAGAAAUAAAUAUAUUCAUAUGUAACCAUGCACUAUGGCAUGAAGUUAUUAUCACAGUGUGCAGACAAAUGCCGUGUGCUGCUGGACCCAACGAGAGUCUACUAGGCGUUAUCUGUUCUGCCCACCCAAUCCUGACUAGAUAAGCACUUGAGAGUUUUUUUUUAUUUUAUCCAGUUGAUUUGAAGUGUUGUUUUGAUAUAAAUUUUGUAAAGAAGAGAUAUUUUUGUUAAGACCAAUUUGAUAUUUGUAUUUUUGUUUAAUAAUUUUAUCUUUUAAAAAUAUCUUUUAUUUGUUUAUAUAAAAGUUUAAAUAAAAGCAAUAGAAACUAGUAGAAUUCAACAUUAAUUAAAUAUUAUGAUGAUGUUUGAUUCAUGUUGUGAUAACUUUAUAAAUAUUAAAUUCAAAUAAAUUAUGAUGACUAAUUUAAAAUUAAUUAAUUAUUAAAAGAGUUUUUUUAAUAUUAAAAUGAUGAUAUAUUAAAUCAACCUAAACUUUACAGUUUAAUUUGUAAAACCUUGACUUGAAUCAUGAACUCCACUUGACAAAUUAAAAAAAAAAACAUUAAGGUUGUUACGACGAUAAAGCACAAACAACAAUAAUAAUUCAAGAUUUUGACUAAAAGUAGAAUCCAUUAUACAUGUGUGUUGAUUAUUGAGUUAUAACCCGUCCGUAUAUGAAAAGGAAUGAAUUUAGCAAAGUUAUUAAACUCGGUCGACCUAAUGGUUGGACUGGUCUGGGUUUGUUAAAAGACCAGUCAAUGCAAUGACCCGACAAAACCUGGUCGACCCAUGACCCGGAUGAGACCCAAUAUUUUUUUUUUCAAACGUGGUUUUUUUUUAUAACCUUCUUUUUUAUAUUUUUUUUAGUUGGUUAUUAACACUUUUUAAAGUUCACUAUAUAAAUACUAAAAAUAUAUUUUAUUUUUUCAAUGUAGAAUUUGAAACCCUUUAGUAUAUACUCUAUGUUCCCAAGAAAUUUUUUUUUUUUUCAAUGUGGGAUUUCAAGCCCUUUCAUAUAUAUACUUUAUGUUCAUAAGAAAAAAGUUAUGUUUUUUCAAAGUGAGAUUUGAAACCAUAUAGCAUAUAUACUCUGUUUCCAAGAAAAAACGUUGUUUUUUUAAAUAUGUAAUUUGAAGUUCCUUCGUAUAUAUACUCCAUGUUCAUAAGAAAAAUGUUAUGUUUUUUCAAUGUGAGAUAACAAACGUUUUGGUUUAAAUACUUCAACUUAAAAGUAUGACAUAAUAUAUUUUUAAUGUGAGAUUUAAAGCCCUUUAAUAUAUAUAUAUAUAUAAUAUAUAUAUAUAUAUAUAUAUAUAUAUAUAUAUACACCUAUAUUCCUAAAAAAAAAAAUUAUUUUUUCAAUGUAGGAUUUAAAGUCCUUUUGUAUAUAUAUUUUAUUUUCACAAGAAAAAUGUUAUGUAUUUUUCAAUGUAAGAUUUUAAAUUUUUUAUUAUACUUUAUCUUUAUAAAUUUUUUUUUUAAAUUAAUCCAAUUAACCUGUCUACCUUUAGAGCUGAUUUAAUAAUUUUGGGAUGGAAGGAAUAUUUAAAAUAGUCUUAGAACAAGUCACAUUUGUUUGCUACCCGAUUUGAAAAGAGAAAGUUGCUCUCCCGUAAUGUCUACUUUUAAAAUCAAAAGAAUCCAACAGAAAACGGCAACCAUGACCAUGCCAAAAGGGCUUAAACAAAAGCUCUACAAGAUCAAUCCACGAAAGUUAAACUCCAUUGAAUCAAGAUUUGAAUGUGCUGGGCAAUGAAAAGCCCACGAUUAUAUAAAAUAAAAAAAUAAAAUUCAAAGAGAGUACUGGAAUGCUUGACUAUAACUGUAAAACCAAGCCUAGUCCAAUAAAUCUAUGUAAAAAUCCGAUAAUUCAGAACCUAGAUUAAUUGCUAUCAUGAUUUAUGACCUAACCAAUUUAGUUACAUUAAUGUUGACCAUGAUUUAGUCUAGAUUUAUCCUAGUCAAAAGAGAAAAGAAAUUCCAUAAAAUCUUAACAUGAUAAUCGGGGUCAUUUUCUUCGAGCAAGCAACGAAUCUCCAUAAAAUCUUAAACAUAAUUAGUGCAUAGAUUACCAAAUAUAUAUAUAUAUAUAUAUAUAUAUAUAUAUAUAUAUUGUACCAGAUGAAACAAAACAAUUCUCAGUACGUGGCGUUGUUAUACCUGAGAAUGAUCUAAAAAAUCAGGUCAUAGAUUUCUAGCCUAUACACUGAUUUUAUUAAAAGAAUGAAGAAAGAAAUGGAAGUAAAUAUAAACAAAUUUCUAAUACGAACGAAUAAGGCAAGACCAACAAUGUCAGGAUCCUUGAUCAAACACAGAGCAUUCUUAAUAAAGUAUAACAAGAAUUUAAAUGAUGAAAAUAAAGUCUUACUUAAAUUUGUAAUGCAAAUCAAUACACGAGAUAUUGAUUAUAGAGGAGAGUGGAUAUGGGUUAAAGGUACGAGUUACAAGGGAGAAUAAAAUUUUCUCAGGGAAAAUGAUUGUCUGCCUUCUGAGGAUUUAGAAGUCCCCUUUUAUAAAUGAGUUGACACGGAAGAGGCCAAAAUGUCUUGUUGGGAAAGCUUGGAGAUUUCGUUAGAACCCAUGUGAACCCAUGUUGUAUUGCUUUCCAUGAUUGGGUGACGACAAAAUGAAAAAUGCCUAUGUUUUUUGUGGGACUUUCAUUUGUUGUCUUCUUGCCACCGACACUGGAUUUGUUUGUUUGUAAUAGCAGGUGAUAUUUGUAAUAAAAAACCUAAAACUAAUGGGCUUAAAAUUAAAAAGGACUCAAAACAGUUGAGUCGAAAAUAUAUGGGCUCUAAACAGAUGAGCCUGAGAAAGCCUAAAAUACUCUUUUUUUUAUUUUAUUUUAAUGUCGCUUGAUAGGCGGUAGGAUACCAAAACAGUCAUCUUCAUUAUCGUCUCCAAGGGAAAUGGUAAGAGAUAUCGAUCCAGAUGAGCUGGAUUGGGACAAGACCGUUUUCGGGUCUUGGCUUUGUAUAAUGCUUUGGACUAUUUGUAGGUAUUCUUCUUUAGUUUUAGUAGGCAAUGAAAGUUGUCGUUUGAGACUUUCGGGCUAGAAACUUUGAUUGAGGAUGAUGAUCAAUGAUGAGAGCUAUUUGAUGUUUUUGUAACCAUUCCGUAACAACUAAUUUGGAACUUUUGGAUUCAGCUGCAAAAGAAUCCUACCAUUUGAUUUUGAACUUGCGAACAAGUACUAGAUGUCCGAUUUGUAGAUUAUAAUCAUAAAACCAUGAAUAUACCCAUGGCAUAAAAACUUUUAUACAGAAAAUGAGAAGGGAAGAGAACUUCCUUUCAUAAGGAGCUAGUUAAAAUUUAUUUUUGAAAUGGAGGUAACUAUUUUCAACUAGAGGAUGGUCUUUGAGGUAGUCAACAUGACAACCAUAGUAGUCCCACCAUUUGAGGAACCAGAGUGGGAGGUUUGUAGUAUUCAUGUCAUUAUGGAAGUAGAAAAACCAAGAAUGACUAUGGUUUGGAUUUUGUAGUAGGAAGGCAUUGAACUAUGCCUGUUGGUAAUCCUAGUACGUAUAGGAAGUAUUGAAGUCCUAGGGGUUUGUACGGAAGUGUAUGAGGAAGGAGAGAUGUUGAUGUAAGGGUUGUCCCCAAUCUUUAGGGUGAAUGACUUUGUGAAUGAUACAUGUAGAAUAUGGCGGUUCAGUGUGAUCAGAAUGAAGUUUGAAGUGUUUGAACUUGACAAAAUUGGUAAUUUCAAGGAUUGCGGCAUAAUAGGUGGUUUGGCUAAAUUCCAGGGUUUGUAGUACCAAUUUGAAUGGAAAAUUUUGGAAGCAACAAUGGAAGGGUUUUCAUGUUAAAAUCCUUCUUCCAUAGUUAAAAUAUUUUGGAAAGUAGUUUUGAAAAUAUAUUUGGAUUUGGUGUUUGGAAAACUGGUUUAUUGUAAAGAAAAGAGGGGUUUUGAAGCAGAAAUGCCUCCUUGAGGUUUUGAAAAUGAUUUGGAAAUAGAUACGGAGUCGCUGGAGGCCUAUUGAGACACUUUUUAUAAUGUUAGGAGUAAUUCUGGUGAUUUGGAUAUAGUGUCAACCCAAUGUUGAACUGCGUAUGUUUGUACAUAUGGUGGUUUUAUAGUUUCUUCUUCUUCAAUAACUGCCUCAUACCAGGAUUUGAUGGGUUUGACAGCUAAGAUAGCUGAAGACAUGAGUUUUGAAAAAGGCUUGGGGCUCUCUGAUUUUGUAGGCUGGGUUUGAGGGGCUUUCCCCUUGUUUUUGGCCUUUGCUUUAGGAGGCAUCAAUACCUAUUUUGAAGGAAUUCUCAGGUUAGGAAAUCAGAAUGGAAUUUGAAUCUCCUUUAAUGUAGACAAUAUCGAAAUAAAAAAUGCUUAAAAUAGCUUGCCAUCUGGCAAAAAUCUGUUUUAAAGCAAGAUUUUGGACAUCUUUUUGUAGAAUUUUUUUUUUGCAGAUUUGCAAUUAACACGUAAAAGAAAUUUUUGAUUUAAUAAAUCACUUUGAAAUUUUGUAAUACAGAAAACAAUUGAAAGGAUCUUUUUUUAUAGUAGAGUAAUUUUUCUGGCAAUCAUUCUAGUGGGCGGAUGUGUAUUGGAGGAUUUGUUCUUUAAGAAUCCCACCAUAUCCUAGGUCAGAGACAUCGGUCUCGACAAUCUUAGGAGCUAACGGGUUAGCUAAAUGGAGGAGAGAAAUAGUUUGGACCUCUUACUUAAUCUGUUUGACUAGGUCGGUAUGGAUGUCGGACCAAGAAAUGAGGUUUGUUUUUAACGUGUCAUGUAAAGGUUUGGCUAGACCGCUAAUAUUGGGAUAGUAGUCUAGAACAUAAUUAAGACUGCCUAAAAACCUUUGCAAUUGGGUUUUAUCGGUGAUCUUAUUAGGAAAUUUAUUUGUAAAGGUUAGAGACUUUUUUAUUGGUGUUACAGUGCCUUGGCAAAUAUAAUGCCCUAGAAAACGGACACGAUUUGGAAGAGAGAAAAUUUUGUUUUAGAAACAAUUAAACCAUUUUUUUUUGUAGUAUGAAAGGAAGUAUGUAGAUGUUUGAAAUGUUGAUCUAUGGAAUGUGAAAAAAUAAUCACAUCGUCAAUGUAAACAAUGCAGAACUUUGAAUGUGCAUUGAAGAUGUCAUCCAUGAUGCGUUGAAAUUCAGAUGGUGCAUUUUUUAGGCCAAAGGGCAUAACAAUCCAUUUGUAUUGGCCUAAAGGAACUAUAAAAGCAGUUUUGUAUCUAUCUUUGGGAUCAAUCUGUAUUUGCCAAAAUCCGGAUUUCAUAUCGAACUUAGAAAAUAUGAAUGCAGAGUGCAAUUUUUGUAACAUAUCUUUUUUGUUGGGGAUUAGAUAUCUGAUCCAUUUGAGAGCAGAAUUUAAAGGUUUGUAAUUGAUCACAAGUCUUGGUAUGCCUCUUUCGAUUUCAGAGUUUUUAUUCACAUAAAAGGCUGCACACAACCAGGGUGAUCGAGACUUUUGGAUAAGACCUUUAGACUCGCAAUCGCGGAUUUCAAGUAUGCAAUGCUGUUCUAAAUCAACAUUUAUUUGGAUAGGUCUUGCUUUUGUAGUUAUAAGAUUUUUUGAAAAAGUAUCUUCAUAUGAAAGAUCAACGAUGUGUUGUUUUCUUUUCUAGAAAGCAUUAGGUAAGUCUGAACAGAUUUGUUGUUCAAUCUUAUUUUGUAAAUCAAUGAUUUUCUUUUGUAAAUCAGAGUUUUGUAAUUGUUUGUUUAUACGACCAAAAAAAAAAAGGUUUUGUAAAUCAUGUAAAUGGAAUUGUUUUCCAUGAAUCAGUGCAUUGAUAUGAUAAGUAUGUAUGGAGCAUGCUUUAAUCAAAUUUAAAUUUCUAGUCUUAGAUUUCUCUAAGAAUGGGAGAACAAGUUUGAUGCUAUUGAUUUUGGAAGUAAUACAAUUAUGAUGUGCUUGAUAUGGAGUGAUCAUGUCGAUGAAUGGAGUGCCAAGAAUGAUAGUAUGAUUAAUAUCUUUUGUAACAACAAAGAAUGUUUUAAGAGAAAUACCUUUGUUGAAAACAGAGGUUGAGUUUUGCCUGCAAUAUGUAACUUUGAAUUAUUAGCAGCAAAGAGUUUUUCAGAGGUAUUUUGUAAAAAUUAUUUUGGAGCCACACCUUCUUUGAUGCAGUUCAAAUAUGCACUUGUGUCAAAUAAGACAAUAGUGUCAAGUUUGAAAUCUCUUGAGAAAAUGAGAGUAAUUCUAGUUAAAUAUUUUUUUGAAGAUAUUUGUGUUAAUACGUUAAGGAAAUCAUUUAGAACAUGCUCAAUAUUUGUAAGUGUAUGUGGCAAUGCAUGAGAUUCAAUGGUUUGAUCUUCUAUAUCAGACUCAGUAUCAAACUAGCUUUCAAUUAUGGAUAGGAGAUGUUGUAGUAUGGCAGAGUCUUUUUGUUGGGCUUGGUUGAGGGUUUGUAAUUCGGAUUUGAGGGUUUUGAUCCUAGAAUGUAAUUCUGAAAUGGUGACUGUGGUUUUGAAUUUCUUUUUGUUAAGGAUCUUUGUAAGGUCAUAGGUACUGGUACUAGUAGAGGGUAGUAUAGAGCGAUUUAGAGGGUUAGAUGAAAGGUAAUCUGGUUGGUUGAAAUCUUUCAAUAACUUAUCUAAGUAGGUUUUUUGAAGUUGAGGAUCAUCAAGUCUUUUGAUAACCUCAAGAAUGAAUUUCUAGUCUUGGGUUAAGACGUUAAUUUGUUUGGAAUUUGUAGAGGCAUAUGAAGUAGCACUAGUAGUUGCUAUUUUAUCGAUUUGAAAUUCUUCUUCAGAAGUGUCUGAAGGAGAGUGGUCAAUGUCUGUGACUUCAAUGUAAAGAUUUUAUAUUUGGUUGAUGGUAUCUUCAUUUAUUUUGAGCUUACAAAGUUUGGUAUUGACCUUGCAGAAACGAGAUAUAUGUCCUUUCUGGUUACAUUUGUAACAAAUAAUGUUUUUAAAAUUAAAUGUUGGUUUGGAUUUUGACUGAAAAUGUCCGUGGGGCUUGGUAAAUUUAUAGAGCUUUUUGUAGUAAGGUUGAUUUAAUUUGGAACAAAACUGUUUUCAUAGUCGACAAGCUCCUCUCUUUAUCCAUUCAGUCCUGAAAAGUAACUAAGACAAUUUCAGUUAUAUUUUCAUGUUCCAAUUAAACACUUUUUAUUUUUUUAUUCUCAAAGAAAAAUAUAUUUUUUUAUUAAAUAUAUAAAGAUCCAAUCAUGAUUUUAUAAUAAGAAUAAGAGAUAUUUUAGUUGGAAAUGAAUCUAAAUGUUAGCUAGAUAAAUGUUUUGUAUGAAUCCUGUAGACCAUUCUUACGAGGAUCGUGAGAGGAGGGCUACAAUUCGUAGAAAAGAAACUGCAAUUCCUUGAGGUCAUCCUGCACUUGUAGAAAAAAUGUAGAAAAUAGAAUUUGAAACAGAAAGUUGAGAAUGUUUCCGUUGGUUCUAGACUCGGGAAAGAGAGAGUUUUAGCUCUGGAGAACUGGGAUUUCGUCAAGUUUUAUGGACCUGUUUUUGGUCAAUGCUCUAAUUAACAGACCUGAGAUUGCAUAGAGCUUAAAGCUUUUCUUGAGCAGAUGAUCACACGAAUAAAAACAGCAAGAUUAGGACUAAAAUUGUUAACCUAGCCUUCUCGUGAGAAUGAUUUGGUUGAUUUUGUUUGCUUUGCUAGUUAUGUUAACAACUCAAGCUUGGCUUUGACAUAUGAAGCAGAUGAAAGUGUUUGGGCUUUAAGCUUUUCAUGACCACCCGGCCGGAGAUUGAAUUCCUGGCUUCUCUUCUUCUGUUGGCUCUGCUACUAACAUGGUAGUAGAGCUUUCGACUGUCAGGCAUGGCGUCAGUAUCGUCAGUAUCGUCACUACUAACAUGGUAGUAGAGCUUCCUUGAAGUUGAAUAUGACUCCUCGGAAGCUCUUCGAUGCCAGUCUUCACAUCGUAAUGUAUUCGCUUCUAACUUAUUUGGGGUCUUUUCAGAAUGGAUCUUGAGAAUGUUCCUCCUCCUGUUCUUCGGUAUCUUUUGGACGCUGAUAGAAUAGGUAUUGCAGCAGGUUCCUUCAUAGAUCAUAACUCCCACCAUUCACAACAGAUGCAGAAGAAGGUUAAAAGGAGAAAAGAAAUAAGUAUGGUAACCAUUGCAGCAGCAUGGCAUGAAGAGGUGUGCUGGACCCAACGCACAGUCUACUAGGCGUUAUCUUUUCUGACAAGCCAAGCAGUCGAGAUUUUAUUCGAUUUUAUCCUGUUGAUUUGAAGUGUGCGAUUUGAUCGAGAAAAAAACUGAAAAGUAUAUUAAAAAUAAAUAAUAAUUAAAAAAAUCGAAUGGGAUAGGGAUAAGGAAUCGCGGCGAUAAACAAACAGAGGAGGCAAGAUAAUAGAUAUGUAAAACCUUCCCCUUCCACCAACAGGGCAUUCCAACAGCCUUCUCGUGCAAACAGUCGAAAAUGCUAGAAAAGAGAAAGAAUAAAAGUGGAUUCAACCUCAGCCAAACUCGUACCUGAAGAUAGAAGAAAGUGAAUUAUUCACGAGUAUACAUAAUAGUAUUUGCUUCCGUAAUCUUGCCACCAAUGUAUGGAAUCGAUUAAAUUAAUUAAAAUUUUUUAAAAAAUAAACCGAUUUGGUUCGGUGGAACAAAUUGAAACAUGAAGUUGAAAAUGUUUCAUUGAAUAUGACUCCUUGGAAGCUCUUCGAUGCCAGUCUUCACAUCUUCAUAUUCAGGCUCUUCUUGGCUCGAGGAGACCAUGCAAAUUCCUUCAUUAAUUAAUUACGGUGAAGGUAAUCAAUGUAUUCGCUUCUAACUUGUUUCGGGUCUUUUCAGAACAAUUCAAUGGAUCUUCAGAACGUUCCUCCAAUUCUUCGGUAUCUUUUGCAGCAGGUUCCCUCAUGGAUCAUAACUCCCACCAUUCUCAACAGAUGCAGAAGAAGGUUAAAAGGAUAAAAGAAAUAAAGGUUAAAAGGAUAGUAACCAUUGCAGCAGCAUGGCAUGAAAAAGCUUAUCACAGUGUGCAGACAAAUGCCGUGUGCUGGACCCAACACACGGUCUGCUAGGCGUUAUCUGUUCUGCCCACCAAUUCUUACAAGAUCAGCACUUGAGGUUUAUUUGCUUUAUCUUUAUCUUUAUCUUUAUCUAUCUUUAUCAGUUUAACAAUUUUAUUUUUUUAAUUAUAUAAUAAUAUUAUAAAAUUAAACUAAAUAUUAUGAGAUGUUUGAUUGAAACUAAACAACUUUAUAAAAUAAUUCUUGAAUGGAUAAUCUGAAAACACCAAAAAUAAUUCAAGAUUUUUACUGAAACUAGGGCCCGUUAUGGAUGUUGUUGGUUAUUAGGCUAGAUAUGUUAUGUCCAUAACAAAUGAAUCUGAUCUAAAUAUUUAAAAGAAUUAUUAAAAAAAAUAAACAGUGUAUAUAUAUAUAUAUAUAUAUAUAGAUAUAGAGGCCCAUAGAAGAUCAGCCUGAUUAGGUUUCUAGCGUUAUCGUGCGUUAGUUAAAAAUAAAUCUGAUCAAAUACACAAUUUUGUCAACUAACACUCCUCCUUAAGUUAGUGCAUAAAUAUCUAUUAUGCCUAACUUGUCAAUCAUACUCUAAAAAUUCUUAUUUAAUAUUGUGUUAGUGAGGAUAUCAGCUAUAUGACUUGCAGAUUUAACAAACAAAAAACAUAUAAUUUUUUUAUUAUCUAAAUUCUCUUUGAUGAAAUGACGAUCUACUUCAACAUGUUUAGUUCGAUCAUGUUGAACAUGAUUAUGUGUAAUCUGCUUAUUAUCACAUUACAAAUUGAUAGGAUCUGUAUACUUGAUCUCCAAAUCCUUGAAAACACUCUUGAUCCAUAACAACACAUAUUCCCUAAACCAUUUCUUGAAAUUCUACUUCUACACUAGAUCAUGCUACAACUUUCUAUUUUUUACUUCUCUAAGUAAUCAAAUUCCCUUCCACAAAGGUCAGAUAACCAAACAUAUACCUUCUUAGUGUUUGAUCUCCUGCCCAAUCUGUAUCAGUAUAGCCUUUAAUAUUUGAGACACAAUUCUUUGAGUACUAUAAACCUUUGUCAGGCGCACCUUCAAGAUAUCUCAAGAUUAUGUAAACUGCAUCCAUAUGCAUAAAUUGGCUCACAAUACAUAUAAUAUAAAUUAUAUCAAAACUAUUGUGGGUUAGGUAAAUUAACUUACCCACAAGUUUUUGAUACCGACCCAUAUCUAUAGGGACUUGAUCUGGAAAGAUCCCAAGUUGACGAUUCAUUUGUAUUGGUGUUUCAAUAGGUUUGCAAGCUAGCAUCUCAAUCUCACUUAGAAGAUUUAAUACGUAUUUAUAUUGUGAAUGGGAAAUUCCUUGUUUGGACCUUACUACUUCAAUGCCAAGAAAAUACCUUAGUUGUCCCAAAUCUUUCAUUUUGAAUUCUACAAACAAGUACUCUCGUAGUGUCCUCAUUUCUUUAGGAUCAUUACCUAUCAAAAUCAUGUCAUCUGCAUACAUAAUGAAUGUCGUUACCCUUCCAUCUUUAUGUUUUACAAAUAAUGUAUGAUCUAUAUUGCUCUAUUCAUAACCAGCUGCUUUCAUUGCCAAAGUAAACCUCCCAAACCAAGCACGAGGAGAUUGCUUUAAACCAUACAGAGAUCUCUUUAGUUUGCACACUCUGCCUUCGUGUUUGGAACUUUGUUUUAUUCCAGGCAUAAGUUCUAUUUACACCUCUUCUUCUAGAUCACCGUUCAAGAAAGCAUUUUUUACGUUGAAUUGUUGUAGGGGCUAAUCUCAAUUUGCAGCAAUGGAUAUGAGAAUAUAGAUGGUGGUGAUCUUGGUUACUGGUACAAAGGUCUCUUGGUAGUCGAUACCAUAUUUAUGGGCAUACUCUUUGGCCACGAGUCUCGCUUUAUAUCUAUCUAUGCUUCCAUCCGCUUUAAGUUUAACAAUGUAUACCCAUCAACACACAAUCACCUUUUUUUUCUGUUGAUAACACAACAAGUUCCCAAGUGGAGUUCUUUUGUAAGGCUUCCAUCUCUUCAUUCAUGGCCUUUUUUCACCUUGAAUCUGCCAAUACAUCCUACACAUUAUUAGGAAUAUAUACUUUGGAUAAUUGAUUAAUGAUUAGUGCAUAAGAUUCCAAAAGUCCAUGAAAAGAGACAUAGUUAUUGAUAGGAUAUUUAACAUUGGUUUUACUAUACAGCUCGUAUUGUUUCUUUGUAACACCUUUAUUAGGUCUUUGUGAAUACCUAGGAGUGGGUUGAGAUGUAUCCUUAGUGGUGGGAUUAUCUAGGAUAUUUUGGGCAGAAAAAUCUAUGGUUGAUGGUGCGAGUAAGUCACUCAUCACAGUUUCUUCCUUAUUAAGGUUUGUAGCUUCUGUGUCACCAGCACACAAUUCGGUCAUCUCAACUUCUUCCCCAUCAUGGUUUACAACAUCUAUGUCACCAACAUAAUCCCCACAAAGAUCACUGUCCAAUGAUAAAUUCCUCUUGUUUGGAAUAGUUUAAGUAUUAGUGAACGAAGUAGCAUUAUACUCGUUAUUAUUCAUCCUUUUUUUCAAAUGCCACUAGCUACAUAAAAACACCAUCAUCCUCACUUUUAUCAAAAACAAUAUUGCAAAGCUCACCUUUUUCAUACACAUUCCCCCCUGAAGAGGAGAGCCUAAGUCGCUUGUUAAAUAAUAAGGAUUCAUUUCACGAAAGGAGACAUCAAGAGAUAUAUGUAGCUUAUGAGUUUGAGGGCAGUAACAUCUGUAUCCUUUCUGAAAAUUAGAGUAACUAACAAAUACACAAUAUUGUACAACCAAAGGUUUUAGGUUCGAAGUUUGGUUGAUGGGGUGUGUAAAAGAAGGUUUGUAAUUUUUAGUAUGGGGUCUGGAAAUCAAUCACCCAGGAAGGCACUAUAUUGAUAAUGUAGACAGUAGACUUAAUAGCCUCUCCAUAAUAGAAGGGAGGCAUAUUCAUUCCAAAAAAAGAUGCACGUACCACCUCCAUGAUCUGCCUAUUUUUCCUCUUCGCAAAUCCAUUUUAUUGAGGUGUGCAGGUGCAAGAAGUAUGAUGUCUAAUUCCCUGUUUUCGAAGAUAAUCACCAAGCAAGUUCUCAAGAAAUUCCAUGGAAUUGUCAUAUUGCCAUACCUAAAUCUAUUUGUGAAAUUGAGUUUUCACCAUGUUGUAAAAUUCCUAAAAAGUAGUACUUGCAUCACUUAUCUUAUGUAAUAAGGAUACUCACGUCAUACGAGUGCAUUCAUCAAUAAAGGUAAUAAAAUAACGAGUUUUAGCCAUAAAUGGGAUGACUAUAAAUCCCCAAGUAUCAAAGUGAAUAACCAUAAGGGUUCAGAGCUUUUGUUGAAAGAGGGAAAAUAUGGUUUACUAUGGCUCUUUACCAAUUCACAAAUGUCACACUGAAAAUCCAAAAUAUGCAAUUCUGUAAACAAAUUAGGUUUUAAUUUCUUAAGGUAACUAAAGGAAAGAUGCCCUAGUCUCUUAUGCUAGAGCCACACCUUAAACAGCUUCCUAUCACCCAUCAUCACAAAACAUGCCUUAAUGUACUGCCAUAUGCUAGUUGUUGUCAAUUUCAAGUAGUAGACACCACAACCAAGAGUCUUUCGGGUCAAAAUAUCUAGAAAAACACAAUAAAAAGGCAAAAAAGUUAUAGUGCAAUUUAGUACUAAAGUGAUUUGGCUUACAGAUAACAAAUUCCAUUCAAGACUAGGAACAACCAAUACUAUAUCAAAAGUUAUGGCAGUAGUUAGAGCAAUGGAGCCCUUUCUUGUAAUAGGGGAGAUAUCAUCAUUGAUUGUAGAUAUGACUUGUUAGGAUGAUGAGCGAAGAUUUUGUAAUUUACUAGAGUCUCUAAUCAUAUAAUCGGAUGUACUAGUAUCAAUAAUCCAACUAUUAUCCAUAGUAAUAGCAGAAAGAACACUAGCCUUACCAACACUACCUGGCUGAGUUAAAUUAGGAGGAGGCAUUGAAGUCCCCUCCUGAAUUAGAAGGCUUUCACCUGAUUUAGCUAUUGCAGCUUUCCUAGUAAUGUUCUUUCAUGGUUUUUUUUGAAAAAUCCCACCAGGAUAUCUAAUAAGCUCAUAGCAAUGCAACGUUGAAUGGCUAGAUUCACCACAGUGGGUACAAACAUAGUUAUUUGGCUUUCAUUAACCUUGACUAUUUUUUUCUUUGGUAGAACUAGAACCUAUCCCUCGCUGGUUUCGGUUAACUAUCAUGACUGUAUUUUUAGAGACCGGUCGAGAAACUCCAAUAACUUGUCGAUGUUGUGAGUCUCUUCUCCCACAUGCGUAGGCUGCUUCCAGGUCCAGUUUUGGUUCCUUUCCAAGAAUAUCCCCACGGAUUUGAUCAUUUUCAGAAUCAAGACCGCUUAAAAAAAAUGUACUCACAAUCUCAUCAGCACCGCAUGAAGUUGUACAAUCCCUUCAAUAGAUUCUUAUUUGGAUGUGCUGCAAUAUCGAUUUCUGAAAGAUUGCAACAAGUUCAUUAUAAUAUAUGGGUAAAGGCCUACCAUUUUGAGUGGUUGAAAAGGACUUGUAAUUCAUUUCGACCAAUUGUGUUUCAUCAAAUCCAUUGUAGAAUCUCUGCAUCUAGUGGGGGCUCAUUGAUUCGAUGAGCCAGCUCUUUACUUUAUGAUUUUCGAUAAUCCAUGUAUCAUAGUUCGGAUCGUUAGGUGCAAGUUUCACUGUUGUCCCAAUUAGAUACCCAACCUUGUUGCGGGUCCCAAUAUGCAUCUCUAUCAACUGCAGCCAUAACAUAUAGUUACCAUAUACUGACGGGAAACUUGUUGAAUGAUAAUUGGGUUUGACAAAGGAUUGUGUGGAGUGGCUGGAACAAUUGGAUUUCAUUCUUGUUCUGCUAUUGUGAUUUUGUUUGUAGGAGGAAGUCCCUGGAAUACAAAGGUCAAGGGAGAAUGCAGGGAAGAAUAGUUAAAAAAAAAAAAAAAGUUUUUCAAGCCUGAGCUCUGAUAUCAUGUUGAUUACGACAUUCAACCGAAGCUUUUCAUUCUGUAAAUAUUUCUGCGCGCUACAAUGUAUUCAUCUUUUCAGGAAAUAUAUAUAUAAAGGAAGUAAAACGUCCUAGUAUGCCUAAACUCCUAUUCAGGGUAAGACUAUCUGUACAAGGAAACAACUACAAUCUUGGAAUCCAUACGUCUCGACAGCUAAUACACAAUCUUGCCAGCUACCACUAUCAAAAUGGUAGACCCGUGAUAUUUGCUGGAGAGAAACAAUGAGGCCCUUCUUGGCUCUCUCCAAUCUAUGCCCGAAGGUCGAUGUGCAUGUGAUGUGUCUUCCCACAUGAUGAUCCUGACAGAGCAAGGCCUAACACUUUUCCAGUGUCCUAAAUAGUUUGAUUAACGUGUCUUCCCAAUUUUUAUUUUUUUUAAAAAAAAACAAUAAUAAUAAUCAAAAUAUUAACUGAAAAGAGGACACAAAAUGCGUGUUGCUUGAGAUCUGGUGGUUAAAAGCGUGGCAGUCUAUUAUUUAUGAGAAACUGUUUUAAAUCAUAGAAAUUAUAACAACAUUUUCUGGCGUUAUCGUGCGAUAUCGAAAAGAUACGCGCGAAGAGAUCUACAAAGCUCGAGCGGAAGACUUGAUGACUUUGUAGAUUCAUUUAUACAGAUCCGUAUAAAUGAACGGUAUUGUUAAGAGCCGAUGUUAUUGUAAACACAACCUUUCACUAUCAAUAGAGAGGCGGAAGUCAGUCAAUACGGGUGUCUGCAACUAUGGAUUCGAUCAAGACUUUGGCCCCGAGCCGCCGUGUUUCCAAGUCCAAACACAGGAAACAAUAUAAGGUACGAACCAAAUCUAGUUAUAUUUCUAUGUUUUUCUUAUAAAGAUUAUUCUCAAUGCUUGUUUCUUGACUUGUUGUUGCUAUAUAUCAUGUCAUUAUCCCCAGAAAUUAAAAAUUAUUAUUUUUCUUAUACAUGUUAAGAAGAACAGAGAGAGGAGGGAAACUAUAGAACGAUUGAAAACAGAUAUGAUCGAGAUCGGUGAGGGACAACAACGCAUCAGAGAAGGGCAGCGAGAAAUAAGACAAAAGUUUGAAGAGAUAGGAUCUGAAUGCCGCAGCCUCAAAGAGGAGACGAUGAACAUUGCCAAGCAGAGUGAUUACAACCAAGUCAGGAUCAACCUAAUGCUUAGCAUCUUGAAAGCCCGUGAAGACAACAACUUUGCCCAUGCUGAUCACCUCACUGGGCUCCUCCGGUUGGUUAAAUUCCCUUCGCCAUUUCUUUUCUUAAUUCUUGGGAUAUUGGAUUCGAUAAUUAAUCUUGCUAAUGCUAGCUAUUACAAGGAGGGAAACAUAAGCUAACGAACUCAAAAUAAAAGAAUCAAAAUGCACUGUUGAUAAGUAAUCUUCUCUCAAUCAUUGUGUUUCCUAUUCGUUGUGUUGCCAGCGAGGAAAUGGAAAAGCAGGAACAAGGAAAGGCAGGCCUGGUUGGCUGACCAAUGAUCAUGGAAAACAAGGAGCAGUUUGCCUUUGCAGUGACUCCUGAUCGUCUUUUCUUAUUAAAAUGAAAUCAUCAGUCCUAAAUCGAGAUAUGUAUUGACAUUAGUCUUCCCUUGAUAUCCUUCUUCCUUUGAUGAAGUAUUCAUUUGAUUAAGGAUUUGCGUUCUGUGAUCCUAGUUGAAUGUUCUGAGUUAUAGUAUAUAUACUAGGUGAAUUGCCGGGCGAUGCCGCCGGUUGUUAUAUAAACGGUAUAAGCAUUCGGUUGAGUAUAACCUGAGGUAAUCGAAGAAGAAGAAGAUAGGCAGACAUAAUUAAACAAAAUGAAAAAAAAUACCAGAACUAUUGAGGUUAAACAAUGCAACCACAUGCUCUCUGUUAGAGAAACACAAAGUCUUAACUAGCCUGUUUAGCUUUGCAGUAUUCGGUUGUUUUUUUUAUUUGGAUUUUUAAAAUUUAUUUUUUAUAUUAAUAUAUUAAUUUAAAAAUAAAAAAAAAUUAUUACAAAAAUUAUUUUUUUAGAAAACAACAGUGUGGCAUCAAUAACAAACAGUCUCGAAAAGUCUCAAAUAUAAAGCCACGUGUGCAUAAUAAAUUGUAAUUAAUUUGGAAUUUAUUUUCUAAAUAUUACUAAUUUAAAUGUUAUAAAUCUCAAAGUAAUUUAUCUGAUUUUUAAUUUUAUAGUUUUGAAAAAUUAAUCAAAAUAUAAAUAAGUUGGUCUAGACAUUUAUGAUUAUAUAUAAAAAAAAACAAGAAGAAAAGAAAAAAUUAAAGAGCUCCAGACUUUUUGACCGUGCAUUCUCAUUUCACUUUGAAUUCCAGUGAAAUUAUUAUUUUCCUUUGGAAAAAAGAACUUGUUUAACUUUGUCUCAGGUGUAGAGAGGUGUUUUCAAUGGGAUUUAUUAGCUAUCAUUAUUUUUAAUAGGGAGAAGUUAGUUUGUUUGCGUUUUAAAUAAAGUGUAAUGAUUUAAACACUUUUAAAAGUAAAGAAAAAAAACUAGUAGAAAUAGUUUUAUGGUUUUAUAGUAAAAGAAUCAUACUAUCAUUAAAAAAAUAUAUUAUAAAACUUGCAUUUAAAAAUAUUUAGGUCUUUUCAUCUUUUCAACACGGUUAUUUUGUAAUUAUAUAUUUGGAUUAAAAACAAUUAAAUCUUUAAUCAUAUAUAAAAAAAAAAUUAAAUGGUUGAUGUGUGUCUCACAUGCGUUAAUAAGCGGAAAGUGCUUAUGCUCUUCGGGUUAUAUGUGUCUACCCUAUCAAUAGUUAAAAGUUUGUGUCAAUGACAAUGUUUGAAACGGUGGGUCAUCCUCUUUGUAGUGGUGGGAUGCUUGUUCAUGAAUGAAUUGCGGUUGAACUUCUUAUAAACAUUUUUUUUUCUCGCUCUCUCCUAGUUUAGAAAUUGACACCAACUCUUUUAAAAAUCUAUUAUCUAUUGUGUUCUUUAAUUUGUGUUUUUAUUAUUUUUUAUCCUUAUUUUAUUUAUUUUCAAUUGUUUUUACUUUUAAUGCAUUUUAAUCUUUAAUUGUUUUGCAAUUUCAUCCAUAUGAAUUUUAUUUUAUUUAAUUUUUAUAUCAAAUUUGAUUUUUUUUUUGUUUUUAUACUUUUCUAGAUUUAUUUUUCAAUUUUACCUCUCAUUAUUUUAUUUUUGUAUUCAAUUUUAAUCCUUAUUUUUUAUUGCUAUUUUUUGUUAUUUUCUUAAUUUUUUUCAUUUUUAAUUUUAGUCCCUCAUUGUUUGUUUGUUUGUUUCAUUUAGCUUUUAUGCUAGAUUUAGUCAUUGUUGUUUUGAUUGUUAUUUAUUUAGGCUUUUAAUUUUGGAUAAUUAAUGAUUUUGCUUAGUGAUUUUUUAUUGUUUUUUUUAUGAGGUAAUCUCGAUUUUAUGAACCAGGUCAUCAUUUUCGAGGAUUAAUCUGAUUUAACUUUUAUCUUUUCAUUUCUUAAAAAAAAAAAACCAAAAUGAUUAUUUUUUAAUUUCAUCAUUUUAUUUUAGGUUAUCAGGUCUAGAGUGUUUUUUUUUUUUUGCUUUCCUUUAUGUGGUGUUAUUCCGGUGUUAUAUCUUAGGUUAAGUUUUUUUCGAGUUAACCCAGGUUCAUUCAAGUUUUUUUUUUUUUGAAUCUUUUUCAAUUUAGUUUUUCCGAAUUUAAUCUCUUAAUAUUAAGUCAUUGAGUCUUGAAUUUUUGUUUUUCAAUGAAUUUAACAUGUUCUCAAAUCUUGAAUCUCAAAAUUUUCUUUUUUCUAUUUUUUAUAUUUUUUGAAAUUAAUUUUUUUAUCUCAUUAUUUAAAGUUAUGUUAUUAGACAUUCAAUUUUGUAAUAUUUUUUAUUUUUUUAUUGUAAAUUAUCAUGGAUAGUUAGUUAGUCAAAUUAACUUAGGUUAACAAAGUUUUUUUUUAAUAUUUUUUAUUUCACUAUCAUCUCGAGGUCAUUGUUUUUAAAAAAUUAUUUUUUUUAAUCUUGAUCUGGGUCGCAUGGUAGUCCAACUAAUCUGAGUUAAGUUAAAGUUUUUCUCAAUGUUUUUAUAAAUAAUUUGUUUUUUAAUUUUACCAGGCUCACAACAGUGUAGCGUAAAACUAAAAGUUGUAUCAUAAGAAGGUUGAGGACAUUUGUAGGUCGGCUAAUGCUGGCCAUAAAUAGCCAUGUAUGUGAAGCUAUGCAGGUGUGCUAGUGGACACAAAAACACUUAUGCAGAAAAGUGUGCUGAAUGUUCUGGUAGUUCCAAAAAGAAUCACAUAAAUAGUUGUGAAAUUUAAUAUUUUAAAGUUGUUUUAUGGGAAACAUGAUAUUUCAAAAAUAUAUUUGUUAAAUGACUUCACAAUUUACGAUGACGAGAGAAAAAUAAAAUAAAUACUUUAAUUAUACAUCAAAUCUAUCAUCAAAAUAACUCGACGAUGUGAAUCUAAUAAAAUUAAAGAAGUUCACCAAGUAGAUCACACUCAUUGAAGCUCUAAUUAUAAUAUCACUAGUAGCAUUAUAAAGUUCUGGACAAAAUAAAUCAAAUAUAAACAAUAAAGAUAAUCAAUGAUAAUGAUAAUUGAAGUGGGUCAUAUAUAAUAGGCGGAAAACAUGGUGAAAUCUAGGGUUAAGAUUAAAAAAGAUGAUGGAAGGGAAGAUGAAGGUGAAGAUGGAGAACAAUAAUCAGAUUAGCGAGAAGAACAGGUAUCAAAAUUCUGGAUGGAGAAGUUCCAGUUUUCCAGACUGCAACAGUAGAAAUGAUAAGAACACCUGCUAAGAAGGCCAGUAAUCUGUCGUGAAUGAAGAAAUUCAUGGAUGGUAGCAGCGAGAUUUAGCAUGAAGCAUUUAACUUGUUUUCUCUAUUGUAAUUCAUGUCGCUAGAGGUAAUAGAAUUGCACUUGUCUUGCCAGCAUUUAUAGAGAUAUGAAUCUGUUGAAAGGGAAAUUAAAUCGUAGAGUCAACCUUGUUGCGGAUUCCAAAGGGAAACCAUGAUGGUUUAACAGUUAAGCUUUGGUCAUCAAUGCAAUUGGUUCAGGUUGGGGUUUGGAAGAGGUUCGGUGAACUGCGGCGGCCGGAGCCUAAUCUGAUUAGGAGUGGGUACCCUAGGUUGGUUCGGUGGAACAAAUUGAAACUGGAAGUUGAGAAUGUUUCGUUGGUUCUAGACUCGGAUAAAGAGAGUUUUAGCUCUGGAAAACUGGGAUUUCCUCAAGUUUUAUGGAGAAAAAGAAAGGUGGGCCGGCGACUGUUGGUUCUAGUUUGAAAGACGAUUUAAUGGCAUUUGCUCGAGGCGUCAACGCUGUGUGGAGUUGGCUGUUCAGAACAGUAUUUACCUCAUAGGGUUGCAAUGCAAUUCGGAACCGACGAAGAUCUUUCAGGGUUGUGUUGGUCAAUGCUCUAAUUAACAGACCUGAGAUUGCAGAGAGCUUAAAGCUUUUGUUGAGAGCUUGAGCAGAUGAUCACACGAAUAAAAACAGCAAGAUUAAGACAAAAAUUGUUAACCUAGCUAGCCUUCUUCGUGAGAACGAUUUGCUUGAUUUUAUUUUAUUUGAAUUCAUGGCUUCUCUUCUCCUG